GCCGAUGCCACUCGCGACAAGCGCAGGCACGCAUGCCACAAGCACACGCGCCCGGGCGAGUAAUAAUUGUGGGAUUAGACGCAGUAGUAGUAGGAGUAAUACUAAUAACGCCCGUGGUGAUAUUAGUGGCGGUCUGUUUAUGUGUCUCUCUCUCUCUCUGCGAUGGGUUUUCUGGUGUUUACUGAGCGUUGUUCGGCGUGCAAAUUUCGACGUUUCGCUUCACGUACUGGGAGCUUCUCCAGGAACGGAGUAAAUCUGCAUCCAGAAGUGUAUAGAUUACGACUCUUGCUGCUGCUGAUGAUAUAUUUUACGAUUGGUUCAACGUGCUGCCUGUGCUCGUGUCAAGUUGUUCACGUGUUAUUUGAUGUCAAGUUUGUUGUUCACGGCAACUUGUUCACGUGUUAGUUGUUGUCAAGUUGUUGUUCAUGUCAAAUUGUUCAAGUGUUGGUUGUUUCGGUGGUGCUGCGUAGCUGUACGCGCACAGGAACUGGCCCAAGAACCCAUCGGGGAGACGAUCCCUGACGGAGCGAAACGCCGGACAUCGUGCCAAACAAGACACGCGGUAUAACCCGACGAAACAUUGGGGAACUAUGCAGCACAAGCACGAAAUCCUACACGGACGUGGUGGUUGUCUGACGUGAAAACAACGUGGCCACGCAGGGACGGGAUUUGUGACCAGGACUUGAACUUCUCGCAGUGAAAAGAAAGAGAGGAGAAAAAAAAACAACCAACCCACCCGGACCACCAUGCAGCGGAGCCUUUACACAAGCCAUCAAUCUCUUACGCACGCCGCCGAAUUUCCCCAACCCACCACCACCACCACCGCCGGCUGAAAAAAAAAAACCUUUGAAUACAUCACUGCAGCAGUGGGGGGCCGGUCAAAUGGUGGGUUUCCUUUGGCAAACAGCGCUGUGUUGUACACGUAAUGGCUCGCAGCGCUCAUGCGGUUGGCCGAGAGCCCACCCCGAGGUCAAGGUUGAUGGAACCGCAGAGCAACCCAGAAGGAUGCUUGGCCCUUAGCGUGGCGUUUAUGAUUAAUCCGGCGCGGGGAGGACGACUUCCCUUAAUGCGCAACCCCCCCUCCUCCUCCACCCCCCCUCCUCCCAAUCGUAACAAAUCAAUUUCACGCCGUCACUUUCUCUGGCUUUGUGUGCGGGCAAUCGUUACCGAAGGUUUCUUUAGUUUUACGGUCGUGUGGCCGGGACGGUAGUCUGGUUGGGGAGAUGAGCCGAGCGCUCGGUUGACGGUUCCACGAGUUCAAAUCCAAGCUGAGAUUGGCUCGGCACCACCAUCACCAUCAUCGUCGUCACCAUCAUCAUCAUGGUGGUUAUUGCAUCAGGGUAGGUUGUAUCAGUAUCGCCUGUUCAGCGCCAGUUGGUGGGAAGUCAAUAGUUUCUGUAUUAUGAACAUGAUAAUAAUAAUAAUACAGAGCCCUUAAUACCGUGCUGGAUGAAGGCCUUUCCACACCUUGGUGUUGUUUAAGUUUACUUUACCACACUGGUCAGCACAGGUUGGUGAAAGAGACAUCACGGUUGGCUACGUGCUGUGCGAAAGAGGUUCAACAUACAUACUUAACAUCCGAAGAAAAAUGCAGAAUGUGAUGUCAGGUGUAUAGCCAUGAAUGCCAUGCAGUGUUAAGGUAAAGUUGCAGUCCUGAAAUUGCUUGUGCAUGCCAUCCACGAGAUGGAGUUCUAGAAGGCCUUAUUUAGAGGACGUUUGGCCUAAUCUUCCAUGCUGACAGGACAUCAUUAAGUGUAAUAAUGCAUUAUGAAAGGGAGCUUAAAUAAAGUUACGCUUUAACCGCAAAAAAGUUAACAUUUUGUUCGUGAAAAAAGAAAUAUACUUAGAUCUACCAAUGUUCUAUUCUAAAUCCAAAUAGUGUCUUGGAAUUUAAUAUAUAUUACAAUUCUAAUACAAUAUCUAGAACAUUGUUGACAUUUCACCAAACCUAGCACGAGGCGUUAUACAUGGAACCGUGUGAAAUGCAUUAUAAAACAACUGCAGAGAUAAAAAUCGGACCAAAACCCGCGAUAAAAAUGUCCAAGGCUUGCUGUUACGUAAAAGGUAAAACAAAGGUGCAGCCCCUGCAUUUGCUCGCCUCGCGCUACUGCUAGCGGAAGGACCCACACGAAAAAGGGCGUUUGGCCUACUCUUCCACUCCGACUACCCACACGUUAUCCCGCCACACGCGCGCGACCCUGCCGACGGAACGGACUGUGGUGCGCCAAUUUGCACUUUUGGGCGGACAGAGUGGGGUUGGCGGUCGCGGGUGGAGGGUUCGGUGGACAGGACCAUCGUGUCAUCCGUUGCAACUACCGCGCCGGGAGAUUGAACUGACCUCCGCGACGUGUGAAUGGCUGACCAUUUCGCCGUGGUAGCGAGCGCUCCAUUAUAUAACGCCACGUAACAAUCCCUGGGGCUGUUUUUCAAAAGGUUUUUUUUUUUAUUCAAUCUUGAUUUGAAGCUUUCGUGA